rnacentral:rRNA from 1 species
UACGAAGGGGGCUAGCGUUGUUCGGAAUCACUGGGCGUAAAGCGCACGCAGGCGGAUCGUUAAGUCAGGGGUGAAAUGCCAAGGCUCAACCUUGGAACUGCCUCUGAUACUGGCGAUCUUCGAGUCCGGGAGAGGUGAGUGGAACUCCGAGUGUAGAGGUGAAAUUCGUAGAUAUUCGGAGGAACACCAGUGGCGAAGGCGGCUCACUGGCCCGGUACUGACGCUCAGGUGCGAAAGCGUGGGGAGCAAACAGG